AGGCAGAGAAGGGAGGAAGAAGGGGCAGCCUUUGCUCUGGGGUCCCCCACCCCUUGAGUUUCCAAAUGCUCCUUUGGCUCCCCCGAAGGGACUUAUUCUGAAAAGAGAUAAAAAAGGUCAGGUAUGAAGCAGCCCACACUAUCUGGAGAAGAACAUGCACAAGAAAUAACAUGUGUCACAUUUUUAAAAAAGCAGCUAGUUCAGAGAAGGUAUGGAUGCUUGAAUCGGUGAAUUAAAAAUCUGUGGAUACAAAGGACUGACUGUAGAAGGAUGAAGAAAGGUGAGAAGGAGGAAAAAAGGCAGGGAAGAAAAGAACAACUCCAGACUCCUGAUAACAUCAUAAUUCAUUUCUGCUACUUUCCCUUGGCAGCCUUGAAUACAGCAAUUACGGACACAUUACUACCGUACUUCAUGCCAUAUUUGUGAGGGCCAGCAGGCUAAUGUGCAUUUUGGGACCAAAAGAGGGGAAGUUAGAUGGCAGGACUGCAAAUAGUUUCUCUUCAGACUCAGAAUUAGUGUGUGAGGCAAUUGCUCUCUUCCUUUUUCCUCCCUCUCCCAAAUUUCCUAAAACAUAGGUCUAUUUUGCACCUGCUGCAACACAGGAAGACAUUUCCCUCCCUUUCCUUAGUGACUUCUGUUUCUGGCGAUGGGGUGUCAUCACGGCGUGUCUAAUAAUUCUAAUAAUUCAAGAGCAGCUGGGAAGAUAGUUGACUGCCAAGAUGGUUGCCCGAAUGCCAGCAAAAUAGUCACUAUCAAUAUAGUUAUGAACUGCGCAUUAUGGUUCUUAUUAGGAAUGGACUAUAUGCACAGGUUAAGUAUCCCUGAUCCAGAAUUCCAAAAUCCAAAAUUGUCCACAUGGGUGACUGAGAUGGUGACACUUGUGCUUCCUGAUGGUAUACAAACUUUCUUUCAUGCACAAAAAUUAAUAAAAAAUAUCAUGUAUAA